rnacentral:rRNA from 1 species
GGGUCAGUAGGUUGGUCGUGCCACCGGUACGUACUGGUCUCACUGAUUCCUCCUUCCUGAAGAACCGUAGUGCCAUUAAUUUGGUGUUGCGGGGAAACAGGACUGUUACUUUGAAAAAAUUAGAGUGUUUAAAGCAAGCCAACGCUUGAAUACAUUAGCAUGGAAUAAUGAAAUAGGACGAUCGAUCCUAUUUUGUUGGUUUCUAGGAUUGACGUA